rnacentral:hammerhead_ribozyme from 1 species
GUACUGCUCAAGAGUCCAAAAAUAGAACGAAACAGCUGUUUAGUAC